rnacentral:misc_RNA from 1 species
GAGGAGGAGGUGGUGGUGGUGGUGCUUUUGAUAUUUGUUGGGCUUGGUUGCUUAUCAAUUGAAGCCUUGUCAUAUCUGGUGGAGGAGGUGGUGAUGAAAAAUUGGCCCUUUUUGGCACAUACAAUUCUGGCCUAGUAUAUUGCAAGGGAGGCUCAGGUGGAAGUUGUUCUAUCAGACCCCCUUGUGGUUGCCGCGGAGGAAGAGGGG